rnacentral:rRNA from 1 species
CCUACGGGAGGCUGCAGUGAGGAAUAUUGGUCAAUGGGCGCGAGCCUGAACCAGCCAAGUAGCGUGAAGGAUGACUGCCCUACGGGUUGUAAACCUCUUUUAUAUGGGAAUAAAACACGGCAUGCUUACCCUCUUGUAUGUACCAUAGGAAAAAGGAUCGGCUAACUCCGUGCCAGGAGCCGGGGUAAGCAGGAGGAGCGGAGCGUUAUCCGGAUUUAUUGGGUUUAAAGGGAUCGUAGGUGGAUUGUUAAGUCAGUCGUGAAAGUUUGGGGCUCAACCGUAAAAUUGCAGUUGACACUGGCAGUCUUGAGUGCAGGAGAGGUAUGCGGAAUUCGUGGUGUAGCGGUGAAAUGCUUAGAUAUCACGAAGAACUCCGAUUGCGAAGGCAGCUCACUGGACUGCAACUGACACUGAGGCUCGAAAGUGUGGGUAUCAAACAGGAUUAGAUACCCUAGUAGUC